GCCUCCGUGGCCCAACUGGUUAGCGCGUUCGGCUGUUAACCGAAAGGUUGGUGGUUCAAAUCCACCCGGGGCG
rnacentral:tRNA from 1 species